CGUAGGUGAACCUGCGGAAGGAUCAUUACCGAGUGAGGGCCCUCUGGGUCCAACCUCCCCACCCGUGUUUAUUUACCUUGUUGCUUCGGCGAGCCUGCCUUUUGGCUGCCGGGGGACGUCAGUCCCCCGGGUCCGUGCUCGCCGGAGACACCUUAGAACUCUGUCUGAAGAUUGUAGUCUGAGAUUAAAUAUAAAUUAUUUAAAACUUUCAACAACGGAUCUCUUGGUUCCGGCAUCGAUGAAGAACGCAGCGAAAUGCGAUACGUAAUGUGAAUUUGCAGAAUUCAGUGAAAUCAUCGAGUCUUUGAACGCACAUUGCGCCCCUCUGGUAUUCCGGAGGGCAUGCCUGUCCGAGCGUCAUUGCUGCCCUCAAGCACGGCUUGUGUGUUGGGCCCCGUCCUCCUUCCGGGGGACGGGUCCGAAAGGCAGCGGCGGCACCGCGUCCGGUCCUCAAGCGUAUGGGGCUUUGUCACUCGCUUUGUAGGCCUGGCCGGCGCUUGCCGAUCAACCAAACUUUUUAUCAGGUUGACCUCGGAUCAGGUAGGGAUACCCGCUGAACUUAAGCAUAUCAAUAAGCGGAGGAAAAGAAACCAA
rnacentral:rRNA from 1 species